AGCAGCCGCGGUAAUUCCAGCUCCAAUAGCGUAUAUUAAAGUUGUUGCAGUUAAAAAGCUCGUAGUUGAAUUUCGGGAUCAAUAUUUCGGUCAUGCCGUUGGUAUGCACUGUUAUCAUUGAUUUCUCACCUUCUAAAGAACCGUAAUGCCAUUAAUUUGGUGUUACGGGGAAUUAGGACUGUUACCUUGAAAAAAUUAGAGUGUUUAAAGCAGGCUCACGCUUGAAUACAUUAGCAUGGAAUAAUGAAAUAGGACAUCCGAUUCUAUUUUGUUGGUUUCUAGGAUCGAUGUAAUGAUUAAUAGGGAUAGUUGGGGGCAUUAGUAUUCAAUUGUCAGAGGUGAAAUUCUUGGAUUUAUUGAAGACUAACUACUGCGAAAGCAUUUGCCAAGGAUGUUUUCAUUAAUCAAGAACGAAAGUUAGGGGAUCGAAGACGAUCAGAUACCGUCGUAGUCUUAACCAUAAACUAUGCCGACUAGGGAUCGGA
rnacentral:rRNA from 1 species